UCGCACUGGGACUACCUGCUGGAGGAGGUGCAGUGGAUGGCCACGGACUUUGCCCAGGAGAGGAGGUGGAAGGUGGCUGUUGCCAAGAAGGAAAAGAUUCGAGGGUGUUUGAAGUGAGUGCUCAGCUUGAAAACAGGAGUGAUGUGGCGAUUGGGGUGCCCCCUCACCGUGGUCAGAAGUUGUGACACAAUGAAGUGGGAACUUGAAUUAAAAGGCUGGUGUCCUGCUUUGAAAAUUCUUUUGUAUUUUGGUCGCUGAAGGGAGCUGAGAGGGAAGAGACAGAACUCAGGAAGUUGGUCAGUGUCCUUCACGUUGUGGUGAAACUGCAGAGAAUUUGUCACCAUGCUGAUCUCAUCAGCCCCAGACUGUCAGGCUCUUCCUGCGUGUCGGAGGCCUUGGAAUUUAGAACAGCUUCCUGGAUACUUCAGGCCCUGGAGCCUGAACUGUGGAAGGAUCCCGACACGUCAGUGUUUGGUCUGAUUGGGGUAGGAAAUAAAAUGACACAUCGUGAAGCACAGGUGCUGCCCAGACGGAAGGUAGAGAAGGUGCUAAGUGAAGGAAUCUACAGCUCACCCCUUCCCCAGUCAAGACCUAACCCAGUAAAAAUCAAACCACACAGGGGGAAACGGACACCGUGAAGGUCGUGUGGGAACUCCAUCACGCGCAGGCCUGGAGGGAAGGGCAGGCGAGUGCCCUGCGGCCAGAGGAGGAGGACUUGGUCACCUACAGGGGGAGACUGCGACCAGCAGGAAUAUGUUUGUGAAGGUGCAGACGGACAGACUGAAGUGAUGCCGGUGAGUUAGCAACAUCUUUUGUGUAAACUCAGUUCUCUCCCUUCGCCCUUUUUCAGCGUUUGUUGACUGGCUGUUGGGCUCAGCCUUGUGCUCCGCCGGCAGAUGUGGGUGGGUCGGGCGCCUUCCAGCGCCUGAUCUGAGGUGCUGCGAUGAGGUUUGACAGAAGCCCCCACCAUCACUGCAGACGUGUCUUAAGGUGCCUCUGCCUCUUUGUGGCCCUACGUGCCCCGUCCACCUCUGUCCCUAGAGACUGGUUUGCACGUGAGGGAUCCCACACAGGCACUGGGCCGGGCGCCUCUGCACUCAGCACUGAUGGAGACGGGUGGUUUCCACUUCUUUGCCGGCGUGACUGAAGCUGCUGUGAGCGUGUGUGUCUACGUCUUGGUGUGAACCCAUGUUUUUAUCUCUCAGGUGCAAACCUGGGAGUGGAGAGGCUGGUGGCAUGGAGAUACAGGUUUCACUUCUGAGGACUUGCCUGGCAGCUUCUGGGAGGCUGCCACUGCCUGUGCUCACCCCCCAGGCGAGGGUCCCAUUGCUCAGCGCUUGUCUGCACGUGGUGGUGUCUUUAAUUUUAGCCAUUCUGACGGGUAUGGAGAAGUUUGCACUUGUGUUUCCACGAUAACCAGUGUCACGUGUAAUAUGUUUCAACGUUGCAGCUCUGGACCCCCCCCCCAUGCCCCCAGGAUGACGACGAUGUCCACAGGGACUCAGUCUUGUGUCUGCUAUACGAGGCCAUGGCCAUCCCGAGUCCAGGCUGCCUCCUGUGCACGUGAGGAAGGGGCACAGGCGACACCGGCCAGACCUCUCUGGGGAUGACCUUACUCGACCAGAGCUGGCCAAGCCCUUCCUACAUCUAGACAUUUUCCCACCCCUCGUUUACUUCUCUUUUUCGGGAUGCAGGCAGCAUUGCUGAUCCCUUUCUUUCAGUCUUGUCUCUAAAAAUGGAAUUAAUUUUCUGACAAAUAUGAUCCCUCUCCUGGCUGUGACCACAGGGUGACCGAUUGGCCUGUGAGCCAUGCUUAGCACAGGCCCCCAGUGCGGGUCAGCAGCUCUGGAAGGUGCGGUGGGGCCGUGCGUUUUCAGCUGUGAGCUUCUGGCGCGGACCCACAGGAGACCAGGACCCGCAUGGACUCGCUCUCGUAGCCUUUUCCCUGGGGUGUUGGCCUAGCUGACGCUGUGUGUCUGCGUUUAUCCGUUAGCACUUUGGUCCCAAUUAAUAUGACUGAAACCUGGGGCUAUUUGAUACUCAUGGAAGGCAGUGGUGAUUAUUCUCUGUCGUUAUCUUCUUGGAUAUGCCUGUCUUUAGGAUUUUGAGGUGAUGUGCAGCCACCAACUGGUAAUGCAGUAAUUUUUAAAAAGAGCAUGGCUUCCCUGUGUUGAGUGUUUAUGGGAACCAAGGACCAGUGCAGGGUGCUCCACAGUGAGACAGAAUCCCUCACCCUCACCACAUCCUGCGGCAUCCUCUCCUCCCCCCCAGACCUGGAGGGGCUGCACAGGGUGGGGCGACCGCCCUCGGCACGCCCACCCGGUUGCCUCUCCCACCUCCCAGCCCGUGGCCGUCCUCCACACCCUGCUUUCCUUCUGCUUGUCUCUGAAGAUUCCUCUCGUCGUCUUCCUGCCUCACUGAGACGACAGUCCUGUCUCAGCUGCAGGCGGGAAGCAGCAGCGUCACGGGGAGGCCGUCGUUCCUCCUCGGUCGCUGUUGGACCCGGCGACACCGGGCAUGUUGACGAUUCGACGAGAAGGGAAGGAGCAGAAGAACAUUCUGUUGAAGCAGGAGGUGCGGUUUGCCCAGGCUUUGCCCACUUCUGUCAAGUCGGCGGGCGAGUCUGUUGCAGGGCACCCCACGUGGCUGGUGGUGAGGACUGGGCGCUGCUGUGGGAGAGCGCCCGCCGUCACUGCUCCCACGGCAUCAAGGGGUCAGCCGCAGGGCAAGCACGCCGUGGUUCUUAUGCGGGUAGAUUUUCCAGUCUUGCCAUGCUGCGUAGUUAGAUUUGAAAUCUCAAGUGUGAAAUCUCAAGUGUGAAUAAAAGUUUUUUCUUCCUAGGCUGUGAAACAGUUACUGGGGCUUCCUUUAACUCUGGCUGCCGUGUCCCCUGCCCACACACCCAACCGGGAUCUUGUGAGCGGCAGCAGCGGCUCCUGCAGCCGGGUCUGCCACUGUCCUCAGCGGUGCCACACGGGGACCAGAGCGUUUUUGUCCCGAGAGAGGAAGCAGAGGUGAGCUCGUUAUAAAAUCCCAGUGAGCGCCAGACUCUGUCUCCUCUCUCACGCAUAAUGCACAUUUUACAUCAAAUAAAAUUGUUGCAGAAAACAGUUUGCUCAGAUAUAAACAUGCAAUAUAUUGUUUUCCAUAAUACAUUUUGAAAAGAGAAAUAUUGAGAGAACCUGGCAUACAGAACAGAAAUUGCAUACAGAACGAAACGUUGUAAAAUGUGAGCUACCGUUUCCCACGUCACGUCUCCUGUUCCAGAGAGAGAGUCCCAACGGCCAACUGAGUUUGUCUCUGCGAUCUUGGCGAGAGAAGAGUAAGGUGCCCCUGCUUGGCCAGCUCCGGGUCUAGGGAGCUGUCACGUGAUUGCAGGCGCCCUGCAGCGUCACUGUCAUGCGGCAGCUUGUGGAAAUGAACGCAGCCCCUGAGAGUUAGUUAGUUGCUUUUCUAAACUGUUUGCAAGUUUGGACUUAGAUCUUUUUCCACUCCUAGACUCUCCACGUUUCCUGUUGUUUGGUUCGUUGGUUGAAUUCUUAGAUAAUGUACUUUGGCUUUUGUUUUUAAGGAGCAGUGUCUGGACGCAGGAUCACAUUUAUGGUUUGGUUCUGUCACAUGAAAUGUGACUGGUGACGGAGCUCGCAGAGUGGUCGUGGCUGUAUGGAAGCUGCAAUAGCUUCGUUUACUUCCAAAUCACACUCAAGACUUUUAUAACCCUGGAGACACAGCUUUUCUUUUGCUGAGUAAGAUGCAGAUAAAGUCUAGUUCUUUUUUGUAAUAAAAACUUUUUUCCUAUUUCAUAGUUAAUGUUUGAUGCUAAUCCUAAAAAGAAAACCAAAAGCAUCUAUAAGGUAUUAACAUGUACUUUUUAAAAGUCG